ensembl:lncRNA
AUGUACAUCCAGCCAGACACAUGGUACAUACCAGUCAGACACACACGGUGCAUACCAGUCCAGACACGCACAAACGGUGCAUACCAGUCCAGACACACACCGGGUGCAUACCAGUCCAGACCCACACGUGGUGCAUACCACCAGGCACACACGCGGUAUACAAUACAGUCCAGGAAACAUGGCACAUACCAGUCCACCAGCGCAUACAACGCGGUACAUACCAUCCAGACACACACGUACAUACCAGUCAGACACACACGGUACAUACCAGUAAACACACCGUACAUACCAGUCCAGACACACCGUAACAUCAUCAACCACACGCGGUACAUACAGUCCAGACCACGCGUUACAACCAGUCAGACACCGCGUACAUACCAGUCCAGACACACACGGCGGGUACAUACCAGUCCAACACAACCCGCGGUACAUACCAGUCCAGACACACACGCGGUACAUACCAGUCCAGACACACACGCGGCACCAUACCAGUCCAGACACACACGCGGUAACAUACCAAUCCAGACAAACACGCGGCACAUACCAGUCCGACACACACGCUGCACAUACCAGCCAGACACCGGUACAUCCCAUCCAAGACACAGACACACGGUACAUACCUGUCCAGACACACGUGGUACAUACCAGUCCAGACACACGGUACAUACCUGUCCAGACACACGUGGUACAUACCAGUCCAGGCACAUGUGGUACAUACCCAUCCAGGCACACGUGGUACAUAUCAGUCCAGGCACACAUGGUACAUACCCGUCCAGACACAUGUGGUACAUACCRGUCCAGACACCCGUGGUACAUACCAGUCCAGACACCCGUGGUACAUGCCAGUCCAGACACCCGUGGUACAUACCAGUCCAGACACCCGUGGUACAUACCAGUCCAGACACCCGGUACAUACCAGUCCAGACACACGGUACAUACCAGUCCAGACACAUGGUACAUACCAGUCCAGACACCAGUCCAGACACAUGGUACAUACCAGUCCAGACAUAUGUGCUGUAGAGUGACCCAUAGAGCAGUGUGAAUGUCAACACCUGUCCCAAGAUGUCCUCCUGCUUCACUACRAAGUUCCACAGGAUCAUACCGACACACACUAGGAACUACAGGGACAAGGAGAGACACAUUACUAUAUAUCACUUGUGUACAGUUGAAUUCGGAAGUUUACAUACAUUUAAAAACUCAGUUUCACAAUUCCUGACAUUUAAUCCUAGUAAAAAUUCCCUGUCUAAGGUCAGUUAGGAUCACCACUUUAUUGUAAGAAUGUGAAAUGCCAGAAUAAUAGUAGAGAGAAUGAUUUAUUUAAGCUUUUAUUUCUUUCACAUCCCCAGUGGGUCAGAAGUUUACAUACUCUCAAUUAGUAUGUGGUAGCGUUGCCUUUAAAUUGUUCAACUUGCGUCAAACGUUUUCGGGUAGGAUUGAGGUCAGGGCUUUGUGAUGGCCACUCCAAUACCUUGACUUUGUUGUCCUUAAGCCAUUUUGCUACAACUUUGGAAGUACGCUUGGGGGUCAUUGUCCAUUUGAAAGACCAAUUUGCGACCAAGCUUUAACUUCCUGACUGAUGUCUUGAGAUAUUGCUUCAAUAUAUCCACAUAAUUUUUUUUCCUCAUGAUGACAUCUAUUUAGUGAAGUGCACCAGUCCCUCCUGCAGCAAAGCACCCCCACAACAUGAUGCUGCCACCCCCGUGCUUCAACAGUUUGGGAUGGUUGUUCUUCAGCUUGCAAGCCUCCCCUUUUUCCUCCAAACAUAUGAUGAUAUUUGGCCAACAGUUCUAUUUUUGUUUCAUCAGACCAGAGGACAUUUCUCC